AUGGAGCGUAUGGCUGCUUCAUACUUCAAGGAGGUAUAUACGAAAGAUCCCACCUUAAAUCCGAAUGUCGUUCUUGAUGCUAUUGGGCCGGAGGUUUCGGUAGAGAUGAAUAAUCGCUUGCUCGCGCCCUUCUCGGACACUGAAAUAUCUGAUGCUUUGUUCCAAAUUGGACCGUUGAAGGCGCCUGGUCCGGAUGGUUUUCCGUCUCGGUUUUAUCAAAGGAACUGGGGCUUUCUGAAGGACGAAAUUAUAGCAGAUGUUCGUCAGUUGUUUGUCACCGGUCACAUGCCAGAGGGGGUUAACGAUACAUGUAUUGUGUUGAUCCCCAAAGUCCAACAUCCGGCGGCGCUGAAGGAUUUUCGUCCAAUUUCUCUGUGCAAUGUGAUUUACAAGAUAGUAUCUAAGUGCAUGGUUAAUAGGCUCAGAUCGUGUCUCACGGAUAUUACCUUUGAAAAUCAAAGCGCGUUCAUUCCAGGACGCUUAAUCUUGGAUAAUUCUAUAAUUGCUUUUGAGUGUAUCCACCACAUCCAAACCUCUUCCGGGAGUUAUGUUUUUUGUGCUUAUAAGCUGGAUCUCUCAGAGGCAUAUGACUGUGUUGAUUGGGACUUUUUGGAGCGUGCACUUUUGAAGUGGGGUUUUGACCCACGGUGGGUUGUUCUGGUCAUGAAAUGUGUGCGAUCGGUUAAAUAUUCAGUGAAAUUUAAUGGUCGUCUUUUGGAGCAUUUCUCACCUUCCCGUGGUUUGUGA
rnacentral:rRNA from 1 species